CAAUAGCGUAUAUUUAAGUUGUUGCAGUUAAAAAGCUCGUAGUUGGAUUUCGGUUAAGAGCGACCGGUCCGCCGUUUGGUGUGCACUGGUUGGUUUUAACUUCCUGUAGGGGACGUGCUCUGGGUUUAACGACCUGGACUCGGAGUCUACGUGGUUACUUUGAAAAAAUUAGAGUGUUCAAAGCGGGCUUACGCUUGAAUAUUUCAGCAUGGAAUAACACUAUAGGACUCCUGUCCUAUUUCGUUGGUCUCGGGACGGGAGUAAUGAUUAAGAGGAACAGUUGGGGGCAUUCGUAUUUCAUUGUCAGAGGUGAAAUUCUUGGAUUUAUGAAAGACGAACUUCUGCGAAAGCAUUUGCCAAGGAUGUUUNCAUUA
rnacentral:rRNA from 1 species